rnacentral:sRNA from 1 species
UUGAAUUUUGCUGGAAACUGUAUGGCUU